rnacentral:rRNA from 1 species
UACAGAGGUCCCGAGCGUUUGUUCGGAUUCAUUGGGCGUAAAGGGUGCGUAGGCGGUCGCGCAAGUCGGAUGUGAAAUCUUAGGGCUCAACCCUGAAACUGCAUUCGAUACUGCGUGGCUUGAGUACUGGAGAGGAGACUGGAAUUUACGGUGUAGCAGUGAAAUGCGUAGAUAUCGUAAGGAAGACCAGUGGCGAAGGCGAGUCUCUGGACAGUUACUGACGCUGAGGCACGAAGGCCAGGGGAGCAAACGGG